AUUGAACGCUGGCGGAAUGCUUUACACAUGCAAGUCGAGCGGCAGCGCGGGGCAACCUGGCGGCGAGCGGCGAACGGGUGAGUAAUACAUCGGAACGUACCCAGUUGUGGGGGAUAGCCCGGCGAAAGCCGGAUUAAUACCGCAUACGACCUGAGGGUGAAAGGGGGGGAUCGCAAGACCUCUCGCAGUUGGAGCGGCCGAUGGCGGAUUAGCUAGUUGGUAGGGUAAAGGCCUACCAAGGCGACGAUCCGUAGCUGGUCUGAGAGGACGACCAGCCACACUGGAACUGAGACACGGUCCAGACUCCUACGGGAGGCAGCAGUGGGGAAUUUUGGGACAAUGGGGGCAACCCUGAUCCAGCCAUUCCGCGUGAGUGAAGAAGGCCUUCGGGUUGGUUAAAGACUCUUUCGGUCAGGAACGAAACGGUAGGU
rnacentral:rRNA from 1 species